rnacentral:rRNA from 1 species
AUUGAACGCUGGCGGCAGGCUUAACACAUGCAAGUCGAGCGAGCGGCGGACGGGUGAGUAAUGUCUGGGAAACUGCCCGAUGGAGGGGGAUAACUACUGGAAACGGUGGCUAAUACCGCAUACUAUCGGAUUGACCCAUAUGGGAUUAGCUAGUAGGUGGGGUAAUGGCUCACCUAGGCGACGAUCCCUAGCUGGUCUGAGAGGAUGACCAGCCACACUGGAACUGAGACACGGUCCAGACUCCUACGGGAGGCAGCAGUGGGGAAUAUUGCACAAUGGGCGCAAGCCUGAUGCAGCCAUGCCGCGUGUGUGAAGAAGGCCUUAGGGUUGUAAAGCACUUUCAGCGAGGAGGCGUUACUCGCAGAAGAAGCACCGGCUAACUCCGUGCCAGCAGCCGCGGUAAUAC